rnacentral:rRNA from 1 species
UGCUCUCUUGGCGGCGAGUGGCGGACGGGUGAGUAAUAUAUCGGAACGUGCCCAGUAGCGGGGGAUAACUACUCGAAAGAGUGGCUAAUACCGCAUACGCCCUACGGGGGAAAGGGGGGGAUCGCAAGACCUCUCACUAUUGGAGCGGCCGAUAUCGGAUUAGCUAGUUGGUGGGGUAAAGGCUCACCAAGGCAACGAUCCGUAGCUGGUUUGAGAGGACGACCAGCCACACUGGGACUGAGACACGGCCCAGACUCCUACGGGAGGCAGCAGUGGGGAAUUUUGGACAAUGGGGGAAACCCUGAUCCAGCCAUCCCGCGUGUAUGAUGAAGGCCUUCGGGUUGUAAAGUACUUUUGGCAGAGAAGAAAAGGUACCUCCUAAUACGAGGUACUGCUGACGGUAUCUGCAGAAUAAGCACCGGCUAACUACGUGCCAGCAGCCGCGGUAAUACGUAGGGUGCAAGCGUUAAUCGGAAUUACUGGGCGUAAAGCGUGUGUAGGCGGUUCGGAAAGAAAGAUGUGAAAUCCCAGGGCUCAACCUUGGAACUGCAUUUUUAACUGCCGAGCUAGAGUAUGUCAGAGGGGGGUAGAAUUCCACGUGUAGCAGUGAAAUGCGUAGAUAUGUGGAGGAAUACCGAUGGCGAAGGCAGCCCCCUGGGGAUAAU